ACUCCUACGGGAGGCAGCAGUGGGGAAUAUUGGACAAUGGGCGCAAGCCUGAUCCAGCCAUGCCGCGUGAGUGAUGAAGGCCCUAGGGUUGUAAAGCUCUUUCACCGGUGAAGAUAAUGACGGUAACCGGAGAAGAAGCCCCGGCUAACUUCGUGCCAGCAGCCGCGGUAAUACGAAGGGGGCUAGCGUUGUUCGGAUUUACUGGGCGUAAAGCGCACGUAGGCGGACUAUCAAGUCAGGGGUGAAAUCCCGGGGCUCAACCCCGGAACUGCCUUUGAUACUGGUAGUCUUGAGUUCGAGAGAGGUGAGUGGAAUUCCGAGUGUAGAGGUGAAAUUCGUAGAUAUUCGGAGGAACACCAGUGGCGAAGGCGGCUCACUGGCUCGAUACUGACGCUGAGGUGCGAAAGCGUGGGGAGCAAACAGGAUUAGAAACCCCAGUAGUCCCAUGAU
rnacentral:rRNA from 1 species